rnacentral:lncRNA from 1 species
UGGACCACUGGGCUGGGACCCACGACCCCACCACCACGCCUGGAGGACGCGCAGCGGCGCCUCGGCCUUGGAAGGGGAGUUUCCCAGCGCGAGCCCCGCCCUUCCCCGCCCGGGAGGCGCCUCGGGGCGGGGUCACUGGCCGGGAGGCCCCGCCUUCCGCCCGAAAGCGCCGGUGCACCCCGCAGGCCCUGCCCGUGGGUCCACAGGCCGGAUCCCCGGGUUCCUAGGCUGGGACUGCUUCUCAGAACCACUCUGUCGUUUUUAAGCAGGGUCACACACUCUAGCUCACUGGGUCCAUUUUAAUUUCUAUUAAACAUUUUUUUUUUUUUGCAAAUGAUGUAGUAGGAGAUCCAAGGUGUUUGGUUAAUGAUUUAUUCACUCAUUAGUCAUUCCACAAACUUGUCUUGAGCACCUGUUAUGUACCCAGCACUGUGCUGGAAUGCUGAGGAGACAGGAGUGAAGUAAAAAGACAUGGUUCCGGCAGGAAACAGGCAAGGAGAGCCUUGACUUGACGGAGUCUGGCUAUAUCGCCAGGCUGGAAUGCAAUGGCGCGAUCUCUCCUCACUGCAACCUCCGCCUCCCGGGUUCAAGCGAUUCUCCUGCCUCAGCACCUCGAGUAGCUGGGACUACAGGCGCGCGCCACCACGCCCAGGUAAUAAGAGGAAAUAACUCUACAUUCAAAUUUGAGCAGGGCACUUGGUGACCUACUUAGACAUGACAUUCCUUGGCCUCCCUUUCAGCAAGAUGAGAAAACUGAGGCACAGAGAGGUGAAAUAAGGAAUGAAAUAUUACUGGAUGAAAUAAUUAUACUGAUCCUAGCCUUAUUUUAAAAGGGCCCCCAGAAUGCUCUUCUCCAAGACUUAGAAAAAUCAAAUGCUAUCCAUCCCUCAAGAUACAUCCCUCCAGCCCCUCCUUGAAGUCUCCUGCAGCUAGAAGUAGAAGUAGCAUCUAUCCCCAUCUGGACUCCUUAGCACUUUGCUGUACCUGCCUUAGUCCCCAUCUCUUUACACACACACACACACACACACACACACACACAGAGUAUUAUAAUACUAUUACCUAUUAUAUUACAUUAUAUUAUUGUAGUUCUACAGGAACUACAAGGAAUUCUACUGUGAAUUCCUUAAGGGUGGGAUACAUUUUACAAUCAUCACUGUUUCUCUCAUUAGUUGUGGAAUCAAAAAAAUGAGUGCACGAUGAAAAAUUAUUCAAACACAUACAUGCUUUCAUUCCAAUUGAAAAUGUAAAAAUAUUACUGUUAAAACAAUAUUAAAGGACAUGUAAUACAAUUCAAAUAUUCCUACCAUGCACGAUUGUUUUCACUUCUUUGUGCCUCUUUCACCAUUUAUUUGUGUGCAUACUCAGCAUAUUUGUUUGUGUAACAGGAUGUUAAAAAUAGAAUUUGUUGCCUGUAGUUUUUGCUAAAGCUCUACUAGACUGGAACAGAACAAUAGGUGGUAAAUACUCCAUUCCUCAGUGAGAUGCUACCUACCUAUGCAGAGCUGGAAAAGAUUUUGCAACCUGAAAACCCAAUCCUUUCUGAGAUAUAAAAGAACAGAAGAGUCUGGAAGUGAUUUCUUCGGAGAAAUUCAUUUUCUUAUUCCAGAGAAGAAACUUCAAGCUCAGAAUAUUGGCUACUACCUGUGAUAAACAUUUAAAUUAUUGGAACGAGAGAGUUUUUAUAACUAAAUUUGAAAGAAGCAAUUUUUUUUAUCAAAGACCAACCCGAAGAUUCAUGACCACUACCUGUGAUUUCAUCCAUGUUGCAAGGAAAAUCCUGCCCCACUUCCCCAAUAGGAAGAGUGGUGGGGGAAUAAUAAAGUUGUUUUAUGAUGCAUCCUGUGGACUUCUACUCGACAGAAUGGUAACAUUCAACUGUAAUCAGGAUGAGCAAGCCACUUUAUUAAACUAAAAUUUUAAACUUUAAUAAAUAUAAUACAAACUGAAAAAUAAAAAUAAUUUUUCAACUCUACACAAGUAUGUUAACUGCAUAAACAGUGAGAUGUUACACAGGGCUGAGGCCUAUACUUCUUCAGUUUGUACAUUAAACGUCUCCAUGGAGGGUCAAUUGCAUCCUACCUAUUCUGACAGUUAUCAGGUAGCGAGAGAUUUGAGGAAGAGGCGCUUUUCUAAUCUGGGGUAGGAAAAGGAAUGAUACCAUGUAUCAUGAGAAGUAUUUGCACAUAGUGUGUCAAUUAAGCAAGUGCUCAGACUAUUAACAACAUUACUAUGUGAUGAAUGUUUAUACAGUGGAUUCAAAAAUAAGCUUCUUUCCAGAAAGCAGCUUAGUUUUCAUUAAUUAUUACCAGCAUCUUGGUAAUUAUUUAUUUAAUGGUUUAAAAGUUAAAGUUUCAAUCUAUAUUUGUUUUUUUAACAUCAGCCAAGGAAAUACAUGUCUGUUAUACUGCAUCUUUGGAAGUAUGCAAUAAGUGUAACUAUUGAAUCUAUAUUGAAGAGCCACAAGACACUGAAUUUAAUUGGACGAGACUAUUUUAUUUAGGAAGACAAUCAUCUCCUGUGAUCAGCUUAAGGUUUUUGUUUUGUUUUAUCUGGAACAAGCUAAGUUCAUAUUUAGAAAAUAAAGUUAGUUUUUUGGGUGCAUGAGUUUUAGAGUAAAUUAGUAAUUUAGUAAACUUUGACAUUUCCACUUUGUCUCCAAACACAUUUAAAUUCUAUCUGUCUGACUGAAGUUCUAAGGCAUUCUGUGGUUACUUAGAAAUGAUUCCUUAUAUUAAUGUUUACAAAUGCUAAAUUGUAUUUGUUAAAUACAUGUCUUAUUGCCUAAGAGUUUUCCUUUCUUAUAAGUUUAAUAUAAAUGUCUAGGAAAUAAGACUCCCAUUUAAUAGCUUAUAAAGAAUGCUGAUGUAUCAGCAGUGGCCUUGACAUUAUUGGAUACAAGUAAGAUCUACACUGAUGAUUAAAUCAAAUUGGCUAAGAUUAUUCGUUCUAAUAAAAGCACUGACUCCAUGAAGUUUUCUUGUGGCUGAAAUUAACAUUCGUGUUCCUACAAGCUCUUUAAAAUCUUAGUUACUGAAAAUUAUUCCUUUUGACCUAAUUUUUUCUUUACUUUGGAUGUAUUUGACAAGGUAGAGGUUAGGGAUUGGAGAGUAUGUAAAGAAUGAAAUAAAAUGUAGUCACUUUUAACUAUAUCCACAUA